rnacentral:tRNA from 1 species
GGUGCUGUAGCUCAGUUGGUAGAGCGCCGGUCUUAUAAGCCGUCGAGGUCGUGGGUUCAAGUCCCACCAGCACUA